UAAUACGUAGGGGGCAAGCGUUGUCCGGAUUUAUUGGGCGUAAAGAGCGUGUAGGCGGCCAGGUAGGUCCGUUGUGAAAACUCGAGGCUCAACCUCGAGCUGUCGAUGGAAACCAUCUGGCUAGAGUCCGGAAGAGGAGAGUGGAAUUCCCGGUGUAGCGGUGAAAUGCGCAGAUAUCGGGAAGAACACCCGUGGCGAAGGCGGCUCUCUGGGACGGUACUGACGCUGAGACGCGAAAGCGUGGGGAGCGAACAGGAUUAGAUACCCUGGUAGUCCACGCCGUAAACGAUGGGUGCUAGGUGUGGGCGGUGUCGACUCCGUCCGUGCCGAAGCUAACGCAUUAAGCACCCCGCCUGGGGAGUACGGCCGCAAGGCUA
rnacentral:rRNA from 1 species